rnacentral:rRNA from 1 species
AUUGAACGCUGGCGGCAUGCCUUACACAUGCAAGUCGAACGGCAGCACGGGGGCAAUCCUGGUGGCGAGUGGCGAACGGGUGAGUAAUGUAUCGGAACGUGCCCAGUCGUGGGGGAUAACGUAGCGAAAGCUACGCUAAUACCGCAUACGAUCUCUGGAUGAAAGCGGGGGAUCGCAAGACCUCGCGCGAUUGGAGCGGCCGAUAUCAGAUUAGGUAGUUGGUGGGGUAAAGGCCCACCAAGCCUGCGAUCUGUAGCUGGUCUGAGAGGACGACCAGCCACACGGGAAAUGGGACACGGUCCAGACUCCUACGGGAGGCAGCAGUGGGGAAUUUUGGACAAUGGGCGCAAGCCUGAUCCAGCAAUGCCGCGUGCAGGAUGAAGGCCUUCGGGUUGUAAACUGCUUUUGUACGGAACGAAACGGCUUUUUCUAAUACAGAGAGCUAAUGACGGUACCGUAAGAAUAAGCACCGGCUAACUACGUGCCAGCCGCCGCGGUAA